rnacentral:rRNA from 1 species
GACGGAAGGUGCAAGCGUUGCUCGGAAUCACUGGGCGUAAAGGGUGCGUAGGCGGCUUCUUAAGUCUGGUGUGAAAGCCCAGGGCUCAGCUCUGGAAGUGCACUAGAAACUGGGAAGCUUGAGUACCGGAGGGGAGAGUGGAAUUCCUGGUGUAGCGGUGAAAUGCGUAGAUAUCAGGAGGAAUACCGGUGGCGAAAGCGACUCUCUGGACGGUUACUGACGCUGAGGCGCGAAAGCUAGGGGAGCGAACGGG